AUUCUUAUAAAUGCACUUUCACACGAUGCAGUGAAAAUGAUUUUGAGUAAUCGUUAACCAAAUUAAUAACCAUAAUUUACCUAAUGGUAUGGAUAAAUUAACUGCAACCUCCCCAUUCUUAUAAACACAAAGCCACAAUAAUAAC